rnacentral:rRNA from 1 species
AACGAGAAAGUGGAGCAAUCCACUGAGUACAUUGGCGACCGGGUGAGUAACACGUGAUCAACCUGCCCUCGAGUGGGGAAUAACUCCGGGAAACCGGAGCUAAUACCGCAUAAUAUCUUCGGUGCGUAGGUACUGAAGAUCAAAACAGUAAUGUGCUUGAGGAGGGGGUCGCUGGCUGAUUAGCUAGUUGGCAGGGUAAUGGCCUACCAAGGCAAAGAUCGGUAUCCGAGCCUGACAGGCGCGCACGGACACACUGGAACUGAAAUACGGUCCAGAAUCCUACGG